rnacentral:sRNA from 1 species
AAACGAUCCGCUCCUCCAGAGGAAGAUCUGAGAAAUGACAGCUUUAGCUAUUAACGUUGGCGCCCCACUUGAAGGCAGUCUCCCUAAUGAACUUAGGCAAGUAAUGGCGUCUAACUCUGCGACCUUAGUCGAGCAACAGUGUCCGUCUCUCUCAAUCUGGUAAUACGUACAUACACUACCUCGACUACUGUAUGUCAACUUCAAGAACCUGGCUGAUCUACCUAGUUUCUAACCCUGGGAAUGCAACUGGCAACCCACUUUAUAUGGGCCCAUUGUCAACCGAUUUUAGGAACCGGGGCAAGCAAUGGUAUCCAUUUCUAUGACCUUUACGUCAACUGCAAGAACUUGGUCUACCUAGUGUCCAAUCUUGGGCGCGCAAUCGCCGACCAGGAUUAGUAUUUGGGCAAGCUAUGGUACCGAACUUCAUGACCUUAGUUGAGAGGGCCUGCAAUUGUUCAACCUGAACUUAUCCAAUUCUAAGACCUUGGUUGAGCAAUAGUGUCAACCUCUCUCGCCCUGGUGGUACACUAUCUCGACGACUUUGGGUCAACUCAAGAGUCUGGCGUACAACUGGCAACCAGACUUAGGAACUCGAGCAAGCAACGGUAUCCAACGCUAAGGCCUCAGUUGCGCUAGAGGUGCAACUGUCAACCAAUCUUAAGAACUUGUCAAAUAAUGGUGUCCAACUCUAGGUUCUUGGUUUGGACUCUCCUUUCCUUACUCUUAGAAAGAGAGCUUUUCUUUUGCUGUUUAGUUGUUGGCGAUUAGUUGUAUUUCUUCAGGUGUUUGUUAUAAUUCAGUUUUUGUUAGCCUUUGCCCAGGUGUCUGUCAUGUGGAUCUGAAUGACAGUUCCUGUUCUCCCACGCUAACGGCUUAUUGCCUGCCAUAACAACCAACUGUUCGCGACAAGCUGCUAUUGUGGCACUGUUUUUCAAGUUGCGAAAGACUACAUGCAUCUUAUGGCCUCAAAAACAUUGCUGACUUCCAACUUUUCUUCUAUUUCUUUACCAGACCUUCUUGUACUGUUCCUCAGACUUCUCCCCGAAUACGUUGAUGGGCCAGCUAAACGAAGAAGAGAAUGUUAGCCCUGGAGGCAUUGGCUUUGCCAACCUUGUUAAUUUCCUCGAAGGUGUCAUCGCUGAGCUUAAAGUCCUCAAAGUUAGACUAUUUUCCGGCAGCUCAUUAGCAUUGAUUACGC